rnacentral:lncRNA from 1 species
GCUGUGCAUUUGUACUUACAGAGAUGUCUAAAAAGAAAUUUUGCCAAGUUCACAAUGUUCUCAUGAACCUUACCAGAAGUAACUGUAGAACGUUGCCUAAAGAUUUUAUUUUCCCAAAGUUAACAAGGUAUAUCAAUUCAUUUCACUAGGAUACAAAAGUUUUCUUCCUCAUAUCUAGGAGGAUCAGCAGCAUCAGCACCACAUGGCUCCACUCCAGACCUACAGAAUUUUAAUCUGUAUUUUCACUGGCUCCCCAGUAAUUCAUACACACAAUGUCCCCAUGAAGGAAAGUAUUAUUAUCUUCCCUUUAAAGAAUACAAAAAUUAUGAGACAUAUAUUAAUUUGCUCAAGGACAUGCAGCUAGCAAGUAAAUGCUGGAUUGAAACUCAGGUCUAUUUGCCUCCAACGCUGUGUCUAUGACCAAUGUAUUACGCUUGUUAGAGGUGAAUCUUCCAUGUCCUCAUGGAGGCUUUACCAUGCUCAGAGUAGGACGGUGAUAAUGUAUCAACUAGAAAGAUGCUGCUCCACAGCCACUCCCACCAACACUGCUCCUGAUGCCACCUACCAGGGGGCCUAAAAUCACAAUAUUAAAGUUUCAAUCUUGUAGGUUAAGGAUCUAAUAGCUGUAAGAGUCCCAUUGAAAUGCCAGUACAUCUUA